CUGAGCUAACAACUGUUGCCAAUCUUCUUUUUUUUUCUUCUCCUUCUCCCCAAAGCCCCCCAGUACAUAGUUUUAUAUUCUAGUUGUGAGUGCCCCUACUUGUGCUAUGUGGGAUGCCACCUCAGCAUGGCUUCAUGAGCAGUGCCACGUCCGCACCCAGGAUCCGAACCAGCAAAACCCUGGGCCACUGAAGCAGAGCACGUGAACUUAACCACUCAGCCACGGGGCGGCCCCUUUUCCUUUUGUUAUGUUAAGGAGACACAAUCACCAAUCUCCCUGAACCAGACCACACCUCACCAUGAGAGCUCCGCCUAUGACCUUUGCUUAUUCUUAAUGCUAAGACCUCUCCAGGAGGAGCUCAGGCCUUCUUCCCCUACCCUGCAGUGUAUGUGGAAGCCAGUUUUUCAGCUGAGCCUGUGCAAGCAAAUACCCUCCUCUCCCUUUUGAAUAUUCAUUCCCCACCUGAAAUAAAAUGUCCCUGCCUCCCUUUGUUUGGGGACGCCAUGACUUGGGAAAUGAUUCCGCAUCUUCUCCUAUUUGCUGCAUACACUUCACUUUGUGAGACGACUGCUUCUGGUGGACGGUCUGAUUGAACUCAGCAGGAGGGAACCCACUUUGGUUUCGAUUAGCCCUGAGCUAACAUCUACCGCCAAUCCUCCUCUUUUUGCUGAGGAAGACUGGCCCUGAGCUAACACCCAUGCCCAUCUUCCUCUACUUUAUACGUGGGACGUCUGCCACAGCAUCGCUUGCCAAGCGGUAUGCAGGUCCACACUUGAGAUCCAAAUCGGCGAACCCCCGGCCACUGAAGCAGAACGUGCAAACUUAACCGCUGUGCCACUGGGCUGGCCCUAUGACCCAUUUGAGUGAGUGUUUGUGUCAGGUCUGUGUCUAGCUCAUUUAUUCUUUUGCAUGUGGGCAUCCUGCGGUACCAGCACCGUCUGCUGAAGCCACUCUCCGUUCUCCACUGAAUUGCCUUUGCUCUGCUGGCAAAGACCUGUUGACUCUAGCUGUGUGGGUCUAUUUCUGGGCUUUCUAUUCUGUUCCAUUGAUCUGUGCAUCUGUUUUUUCACUCAUGAUGCAUUGUCUUAAAAUCUAGUAACAUGAAGCCCCCAACUUUGUAGCUCUUUGGUAUUGUGGUGCGUGGGCUCUGGAUUGGCUCGUUCGCGUCUGGAAGGCACUCUCCCACGCUAGCCAUUUACCAUCUCUAGGAACUGGUUAGCCCUGGGCGGGGCAGUCUCUUUGUGGUCACCAAGGCCCCGAGACGUCAUAGCGUCAGAAUUGCAUAAAAUAAAAAGGCACGUUGAAUACAAUUGGUCCUCUGCUGCCUUGACAUCAUGUUAAGGCAUCUUUGAGGUGACGUUAGAGAGCAGGGCCUGUUUCCAUGAACAGCAUCGAAAACAUUUUUCAGAGACUAGAAAGGAGGGACACCAGUGGAAAUGUUAGGAGUGCUUCUAGGCUGGCCCGUGACUCAAUUUCUCAUUAUAUGGCAUUACCCAAGAAAACAGAUCUGAAAUUUCCAGUCUCCAAUAACAAUAUCUCAGACUUGUAGAGUGUGUCGAAAGUAUAAGAUAGCGGAGGGGUCCCCCGCUCAGAGGCAGGUGCCCCUGGGGGAGAGCAAUAGCUCCAUUAGUUUUCAGCCUGGCACAGACAGUAGUAACUUCCAUCAGAUUCCCUUAGGCUUGGGGGUGUGGGUGUGUACGUCUCAGCAGAGAGCAAGGAGCGUGCCAGGAUCAUGACCAAACAGGCAGUGAGCUCAAAAACGUAAUAGAUCCCUGCUCUCAAGGGAAGAAAAGCAAUCCAUGUCCACGUCCACUUCGUGCCUCGGCAGAGGCCGUCCAUGGGUGUUACUGGGGCCGGGGUGAAGCUGUCUCUGGUGCAGGAAGAGAUGUCAUCUCUGGCAAUGAGCUCCCAAGCCAGGGUGAUGUCAUCUGGGAUGUGGGCCUGGGGUACACUUUCCAAGAGGGUCCCCACUCAGGCCAAUGUGGGUCUGGUUCUUGUGACUGGUGUUGUGACGAGGCUGAGCUGGGACUCCAACUUGAGCCUACAGGCGGGCCUUCCAAUCAGGCCAAUUACUCUGGGCCCUUCGCCUCAGUUGUUGGUUUCGUUGGUGGGAAAGUGGCAAGGUCGUUGGGUUGUGAGCCUCGUCUUAGCCAAACUUGAUGCCUGUUUGAAACGAUGGCUCCCUUGGAGGGUUCAGCCUCUGAUUACAAACCAAUGAAAGCUCCCAGGCCAACAGUAAUGAGCCCCGUAGUCAACAGAAUGGUGUGUGCCACUCUUGACGGGCUUUAUGUUUCCUGUGUGUGUGUGUGUGUGUGUGUGUGUAAGUAAGUUUAGGCUCAAGUGGGUCCCCAUCAGAUGAGCAACUGCCUGGCCCGUGG
rnacentral:lncRNA from 1 species